UCUCACAUAAGUGUGUAUGUAUUAGAACAAUGCAAAGCAAAAAAAUGUGUUUAAUAUACAGCAUACAAUAAGACAAAAUAUAAGUGUGUCAUUCCAUAGCCCUAAUUCAACAUAUAUACCAGGAGUUUCCAAAUUCUUUUCAUUCAAGGCUCCCUAAUAAUAAAAAAAAUUGUUCAAGCCUCCAACAAAGAAUAUUUAAUAAAAUAGGUUAACAAUUAUUUAAUAUUUAUUAGUUAACAGUAAACUUAUUAUUUUAUUUUAUAAAAAAUAAUUAAUGUCUUUUUUUCGUUUAUUAAUUUUUCAAAAUUAGGAAUUAAUGUAGUUACUGCAACAUGCAUUUAUUUUUCCACGUUGAGCCUGGACCAAUAUUUUUAUUUUAAUACGGCUACUGUUGAAAAUCCUGCUUCACACAAAUACAAUGUGGCAAAUGGUAUUAAU